AACCAUAAAUUGUGAGGAAACCUCCAUUGUACACUUAAAUGCUGGAUUCUAAUAAACUUUGUUGAUUCAUUUGAUUCAUGCUUUGUCUUUUAUUAUUGUGAAUUUGUGGAAGCAAUUAGAAAUGAUCAAGGCGCUUAUUGUGAGGAAACCUCCAUUGUACACUUAAAUGCUGGAUUCUAAUAAACUUUGUUGAUUCAUUUGAUUCAUGCUUUGUCUUUUAUUAUUGUGAAUUUGUGGAAGCAAUUAGAAAUGAUCAAGGCGCUUAUUUUCUUAUGAGCACAACCAGUUCCAAAUACAACUUACCCGUGAGCAGAGAGAGUAUUCG
rnacentral:lncRNA from 1 species